UACAGAGGGUGCAAGCGUUAAUCGGAAUUACUGGGCGUAAAGGGCGCGUAGGUGGGUAUUCAAGUCAGAUGUGAAAGCCCCGGGCUUAACCUGGGAACUGCGUUUGAAACUGGGGAGCUAGAGUGUAGAAGAGGGGGGUGGAAUUCCAGGUGUAGCAGUGAAAUGCGUAGAGAUCUGGAGGAACACCGAUGGCGAAGGCAGCCCCCUGGGCUAACACUGACGCUCAUGCACGAAAGCGUGGGGAGCAAACAGG
rnacentral:rRNA from 1 species